rnacentral:rRNA from 1 species
AUCUUUAUUUACAAAUUUAUUUAAAACAAUAUUAUAUUAGUAAAAGAAUCGAAUUUAUUCAAGGUCUAAGUACUGAAAAGGAAAGUCUACUAAUUACAAAGAAGUUAUUGUUUGUACCUUUUGUAUCAGGGUUUAUUCACAGAUUUCACUACUCUUAUUGCUCGAAUCCCGAAGUAAGGUGGAAUCUAUAUUUGGUUAUAGAUGGAAUUGUUUUCAUAAAAAUCCUCUUCAAGACCCAAAUAAUCGUUGUGAAAAAUAUUUCGUACCUUUUAUAUCUGGGUUGGCAGAAUACUCCUUUAGGGUACUCCGCCAGGAAAGAUUUUCUAGCGGGACGGAGCUCUAAGAGAAAAAUUAUAUUCAUACUCAUCUAUGAAAAAGACGAUGAACUAUGCUUAUCUAGUUGCACUUCGGGUCUUAGUGAGCCAAUUGAUUAGUAAGAAUUGCAUACUUUCACGCACUAAUUUACUUAACCGACUGGUCCGACCUGACGCUGCGAGUCUCUGUACGUAGAUUUAGCAAUGGAUCAAUGAUCAGAAUUAGUAGAACUAUAAAUGCACUUAACACAAUAUUCCUCACAAAAUCCCAAAGGAAUUCGGCAAAACUCAUCUCCGCCUGUUUAACAAAGACAUCGCCUCUUAACUUUGGGAGGUCGAGCCUGCCCACUGAUGAAUUAAAGGGCCGUGGUAUACUGACCAUGCGAAGGUAGCAUAAUCAUUAGCCUUUUGAUUUGAGGCUGGAAUGAAUGGUUUGACGAGAGAUGGUCUGUCUCUUCGAUUAAAUUGAAGUUAAUCUUUAAGUGAAAAAGCUUAAAUGUACUUGGAGGGCGAUAAGACCCUAUAGAUCUUUACAUUUAAUUCUUUUGUCUUGCGGUAGGUAAUUAGACAGAGUAAAACAAUGUUCGGUUGGGGCGACGGUAAGAACAGAAUAAACACUUACAACAUAAACACAUCAAUAAAUGACCAUUGAUCCUUAGAUGAAUAAAGACCAAGUUACCUUAGGGAUAACAGCGUAAUUCUUUUUGAGAGUUCAAAUCGACAAAAGAGUUUGCGACCUCGAUGUUGGUUCAGGGACCCUACUCGGUGCAGCAGCCUAGAGAGGCAGUACGUACGAGAC